rnacentral:rRNA from 1 species
GUGCCAGCAGCCGCGGUAAUACGUAGGUCACGAGCGUUAUCCGGAAUUAUUGGGCGUAAAGGGUGCGUAGGCGGCUAUUUAAGUUUAAGGUUAAAGUUCAGAGCUCAACUCUGUGAUGCCUUAGAAACUGGGUAGCUAGAGUACAGGAGAGGUGAGUGGAAUUCCAUGUGUAGCGGUAAAAUGCGUAGAGAUAUGGAGGAACACCAGUGGCGAAGGCGGCUCACUGGCCUGUAACUGACGCUGAGGCACGAAAGCGUGGGGAGCAAAUAGGAUUAGAUACCCCCGUAGUCC